ACCACCAUCACCAGCAUGGAGAGCAGCCGU
rnacentral:piRNA from 1 species